rnacentral:rRNA from 1 species
GGAUAUGUGACGUGACCGCAUGGUCUGCGUCUGGAAAGAAUUUCGGUUGGGGAUGGGCUCGCGGCCUAUCAGCUUGUUGGUGAGGUAAUGGCUCACCAAGGCGUCGACGGGUAGCCGGCCUGAGAGGGUGACCGGCCACACUGGGACUGAGACACGGCCCAGACUCCUACGGGAGGCAGCAGUGGGGAAUAUUGCACAAUGGGCGCAAGCCUGAUGCAGCAACGCCGCGUGAGGGACGACGGCCUUCGGGUUGUAAACCUCUUUUAGCAGGGAAGAAGCGAAAGUGACGGUACCUGCAGAAAAAGCGCCGGCUAACUACGUGCCAGCAGCCGCGGUAAUACGUAGGGCGCAAGCGUUAUCCGGAAUUAUUGGGCGUAAAGAGCUCGUAGGCGGUUUGUCGCGUCUGCUGUGAAAUCCGGAGGCUCAACCUCCGGCCUGCAGUGGGUACGGGCAGACUAGAGUGCGGUAGGGGAGAUUGGAAUUCCUGGUGUAGCGGUGGAAUGCGCAGAUAUCAGGAGGAACACCGAUGGCGAAGGCAGAUCUCUGGGCCGUAACUGACGCUGAGGAGCGAAAGGGUGGGGAGCAAACAGGCUUAGAUACCCUGGUAGUCCACCCCGUAAACGUUGGGAACUAGUUGUGG